rnacentral:rRNA from 1 species
GACGAACGCUGGCGGCGUGCUUAACACAUGCAAGUCGAACGGAAAGGCCCUGCUUUUGUGGGGUGCUCGAGUGGCGAACGGGUGAGUAACACGUGAGUAACCUGCCCUUGACUUUGGGAUAACUUCAGGAAACUGGGGCUAAUACCGGAUAGGAGCUCCUGCCGCAUGGUGGGGGUUGGAAAGUUUCGGCGGUUGGGGAUGGACUCGCGGCUUAUCAGCUUGUUGGUGGGGUAGUGGCUUACCAAGGCUUUGACGGGUAGCCGGCCUGAGAGGGUGACCGGCCACUUUGGGACUGAGAUACGGCCCAGACUCCUACGGGAGGCAGCAGUGGGGAAUAUUGCACAAUGGGCGGAAGCCUGAUGCAGCAACGCCGCGUGCGGGAUGACGGCCUUCGGGUUGUAAACCGCUUUCGCCUGUGACGAAGCGUGAGUGACGGUAAUGGGUAAAGAAGCACCGGCUAACUACGUG